rnacentral:tRNA from 1 species
GUCGUAGCUCAGUUGGGAGAGCAUCGGAUUGUGGCUCCGAAGGUCGAGGGUUCGAGCCCCUUCG